rnacentral:rRNA from 1 species
AUUGAACGCUGGCGGCAUGCCUUACACAUGCAAGUCGGACGGCAGCACGGGAGCAAUCCUGGUGGCGAGUGGCGAACGGGUGAGUAAAGUAUCGGAACGUGCCCAGUCGUGGGGGAUAACGUAGCGAAAGUUACGCUAAUACCGCAUACGAUCUAUGGAUGAAAGCGGGGGAUCGCAAGACCUCGCGCGAUUGGAGCGGCCGACAUCAGAUUAGGUAGUUGGGGGGGUAAAGGGUCACCAAGCCGACGAUCUGUAGCGGGUCUGAGAGGACGCCCAGCCACACUGGGACUGAGACACGGCCCAGACUCCUACGGGAGGCAGCAGUGGGGAAUUUUGGACAAUGGGCGAAAGCCUGAUCCAGCCAUGCCGCGUGCAGGAUGAAGGCCUUCGGGUUGUAAACUGCUUUUGUACGGAACGAAAAGGUUUGGCCUAAUAAGCUGAGCUCAUGACGGUACCGUAAGAAUAAGCACCGGCUGACUACGUGCCAGCAGCCGCCGCCG